rnacentral:tRNA from 1 species
UAGGCUAUAGUUUAAAUUAAAAUAUUUGAUUUGCACUCAUAAGAAAUCUAAGUAGAUUGGCUUAA